rnacentral:pre_miRNA from 1 species
CUAUUACUCCCUCCGUUCGGAAUUACUUGUCGCGGAAAUGGAUGUAUCUAGAUGUAUUUUAGUUCUAGAUACAUCCAUUUCCAAGACAAGUAAUUCCGAACGGAGGGAGUAGAUC